rnacentral:rRNA from 1 species
UACGUAGGGUGCGAGCGUUAAUCGGAAUUACUGGGCGUAAAGCGUGCGCAGGCGGUUCGUUGUGUCGGUGGUGAAAGCCCCGGGCUUAACCUGGGAAUGGCCAUGGAAACUGGCGAACUGGAGUGUGGCAGAGGGGAGUGGAAUUCCGCGUGUAGCAGUGAAAUGCGUAGAGAUGCGGAGGAACACCGAUGGCGAAGGCAGCCCCCUGGGCUAGCACUGACGCUCAGGCACGAAAGCGUGGGGAGCAAACAGG